rnacentral:rRNA from 1 species
GGGCCCGCACAAGCGGUGGAGCAUGUGGUUUAAUUCGAUGAUACGCGAGGAACCUUACCAGGGCUUAAAUGUAGUAUGACCGGUCUGGAAACAGGCCUUCCCUUCGGGGCAGAUUACAAGGUGCUGCAUGGUUGUCGUCAGCUCGUGCCGUGAGGUGUUAGGUUAAGUCCCGCAACGAGCGCAACCCACGUCUUUAGUUGCCAGCAUUUAGUUGGGCACUCUAGAGAGACUGCCGGUGAUAAACCCGGAGGAAGGUGUGGAUGACGUCAAGUCAUCAUGCCCCUUACAUCCUGGGCUACACACGUACUACAAUGCUACGGACAAAGGGCCAGCAAGUUCGCGAGGACAAG